rnacentral:rRNA from 1 species
AUUGAACGCUGGCGACAGGCCUAACACAUGCAAGUCGAUCGAGCGGCGGACGGGUGAGUAAUGUAUGGGGUCUGCCAGAUAGAGUGGGAUAAAUCCUGGAAACGGUAGCUACUUCCGCAUACUCUCGCAUAUCCCAUAUGGGAUGAGCUAGGUGGUGAGGUAAUGGCUCACCAAGGCGACGAUCCCUAGCUGGUCUGAGAGGAUGAUCAGCCACACUGGGACUGAGACACGGCCCAGACUCCUACGGAGGCAGCAGUGGGGAAUAUUGCACAAUGGGCGCAAGCCUGAUGCAGCCAGGCCGCGUGUAUGAAGAAGGCCCUAGGGUUGUAAAGUACUUUCAGUCGGGAGGCGUUACCGACAGAAGAAGCACCGGCUAACUCCGUGCCAGCAGCCGCGGUAAUAC